CAAAAAAUCAAUAUUGACCGUCAAUUUGCUAAAAAAGAAAGAAAAGUCAUUCGAAUCUUCUAUGCCGAAAGCUCAUCUUCAUCAAACCUCCAUUUCGAGAAUCGAUGAUCGAUUUCUCAAGCGCUAUAACCGUCCUCACCCUAACCGAUCUAAAGAGAGUACAACAAAUCGAGUGGAUCAGAUCAUUGAUAACCUGGCGGGUAAAUAUAUGUCAUCUCCGAUCAGAUCCGGUUUGACUCAGCAAAGGAUCGAAGAUUUUUUCAAAUAGCCAACAAAACAAAUCAAGUCUUUACAUACCGAUGGUGUGAAAAAACUUUGACUUGGAUCCACGUUUCAGUUUGGUAUGCCGGACAUGUAUGAUAACUUCAGUGUAGGCUUCAUUUUCUAUGCCUAAUUUUUUCAAGGUGUUAGGUUGAAUGGGUCGAUUAGAUAGUAUAUAUAGCAAAAGGAAAAGAUUUGGUGAGAAUAAAGAGAGAUAUUAAAGAUUUUAUUUAAAAGAUUGUUAGUAAGAUAUGCCUUGCGAGUUGGGUUUUGGUAUAAAUUAGGAAUAUAAUAUUUUUGGAUUCAUUAUGGAAAUUUAAAUUAAUUAUUAAACUUCAAAGGGAUGAAAUAUAUUGGUGGUUAGCGUAAUUAAUGACGUAUGUUGCGUUAUUGUUGAGAGAAUAUGCUUAGAAAAUAUGGACCUGUUAUUGACUUGAUAGAUUUUUGGUAAUCCGUUUCGCAAGGCAUAUUUUUAUUUGCAUAUUCUG